rnacentral:rRNA from 1 species
GUAGGUGGCGAGCGUUAUCCGGAAUUAUUGGGCGUAAAGAGGGAGCAGGCGGCACUAAGGGUCUGUGGUGAAAGAUCGAAGCUUAACUUCGGUAAGCCAUGGAAACCGUAGAGCUAGAGUGUGUGAGAGGAUCGUGGAAUUCCAUGUGUAGCGGUGAAAUGCGUAGAUAUAUGGAGGAACACCAGUGGCGAAGGCGACGAUCUGGCGCAUAACUGACGCUCAGUCCCGAAAGCGUGGGGAGCAAAUAGGAUUAGAUACCCUAGUAGUCCACGCCGUAAACGAUGAGUACUAAGUGUUGGGUGUCAAAGCUCAGUGCUGCAGUUAACGCAAUAAGUACUCCGCCUGAGUAGUACGUUCGCAAGAAUGAAACUCAAAGGAAUUGACGG